rnacentral:rRNA from 1 species
UACGUAGGAGGCAAGCGUUGUCCGGAAUUACUGGGCGUAAAGCGCGUGUAGGUGGUGGGACAAGUCUGCUAUGAAAGCGCCUGGCUUAACCGGGCGAGGUCGGCGGAAACUGUCCGACUAGAGGACGGUAGAGGGGGGUGGAAUUCCCGGUGUAGUGGUGAAAUGCGUAGAGAUCGGGAGGAACACCUGUGGCGAAGGCGGCCCCCUGGGCCGGCCCUGACACUGAGACGCGAAGGCGUGGGGAGCGAACGGG